UAGCUUUUGCCUGAGGCUACCCAGCAGGAGCUACGGAGAGAUCUGCAGAUUCCCCUUCCUUGUUUGGGGUUUGGAGGUGCCCAAAUGAGGCCCAGCUGUGAAGCAAUGCAAGCUGCUGUGGGGCCUUGGGCCUUCUCUUGGAAGUUCUGUGUCUGUCUGGCCCAGCUGCAGUUUGUUAGGUAAUUUUCAGAUUGCAAAGGGCCAGGGCAUUCAUAUGCAAAAGCCUCUGCCACAGCUUGGGUGGGGCGGGGUCUCAGGGAAUCAACAGGGUGGAGCAAGCAGCUAUGGCUGAUCCUCAGCCCUGCCCUAAGGGGCCCCGAAUCUCGGUAAUCGCUGCAAGCACCUUUGAGAGAAAGCCACCCUCAAGUUCCGAGUUCUGCCUGCUGCCAGACGGCCCAGUUUCUCCCUAUAUGAAUCUGGGUCCCCAGAGACUCACCCAGAACUGGAGUUCAGAGCCGUUGGGGGCUUGUGACUCCCUCCUGAUUCAAAAAGACAGCCCUGUCCUCAGUCGCCAGCCCAUGCCGCAUGUGCCUCCAAACCUCUGCACUUUACUCCUGCACCUCCUCUGAGUCUCAGUGUGCUUUUCUCUUUCCUUCUAGUUGUAGAAUUUCCACUCAGCCAGCCUUCCUGUGGUUCUGGAUGAUGUCCAUUUUGGAUUUUCGUUGUGUUUUUGAAGUGGUUGUGGGAGGCAGCAAUUUCCGGUGUUUAUCUAUGCCGCCAUCUUGGUUUCUCUCUCUACUCUGUACUCUUAAACAUCUGAUUGAUGGUGAAUAUCACACUCCUAAAGAUUUUCUGGUAUAUUGUAUAGUAGGUACUUUAGUUAGUUCAUUAGUGUUCUCUAUUCUGUUCCUAUAAAGAAUAAUGUUAUUCUUCCUAUAGGAUUAUUAGCUAAUAGCUGCAGAGCAGCAAUUUUUUAAGGUAUUCUUGAUGCAAGCAAGAUGGAAAAGGGAGUGUUCCAUGAGCAAAUACUUCUUUUAUGGUAAUGUCUUUGAGAUUUAUAAUUUUUGGUGGCAUAUUAAAAGUUCUAAGAAAUUCUGAAGUAAAAAUAUGUGCUUAAUUUACUGUUGGUUUGUUUUUUAACAUUUUAACAUGUUUUUAUUUUAUCAUAUAUAUUUUUAAAAUAUAUUUUAUUGAUUUUUUACGGAGAGGAAGGGAGAGGGGUAGAGAGUUAGAAGCAUCAAUGAGAGAGAAACAUCCAUCAGCUGCCUCCUGCACACCCCCUACUGGGGAUGUGCCCGCAACCAACGUGCAUGCCCUUGACCGGAAUUGAACCUGGGACCUUUCAGUCCGCACGCCAACGCUCUGUCCACUGAGCCAAACCAGUCAGGGCAACAUGUUUUUAUUGAUUUCAGAGAGGAAGGGAGAGGGAAAGACAUAGAAACAUCAAUGUUGAGAGAGAAUUAUUGAUUGGCUGCUCCUUGCACGCCCCUCACUGGGGAUCAAACCCCACAAUCCCAGGCAUGUGCCCUUGACCGGAAUCAAACCCGGGACCCUUCAGUACACAGGCCAACACCCUAUCCACCAAGCCAAACCAGCCAGGGCCACCGUUUUCAUUUUCUUUUCUUUUUUU